rnacentral:rRNA from 1 species
GACGAACGCUGGCGGCGUGCUUAACACAUGCAAGUCGAACGGAAAGGCCAUGCUUUUGCGGCGUGCUCGAGUGGCGAACGGGUGAGUAACACGUGAGUAACCUGUCCUUGACUUUGGGAUAACUUUAGGAAACUGGGGCUAAUAUCGGAUAGGAGCUCCUGCUGCACGGUGGGGGUUGGAAAGUUUCGGCGGUUGGGGAUGGACUCGCGGCUUAUCAGCUUGUUGGUGGGGUAGUGGCUUACCAAGGCUUUGACGGGUAGCCGGCCUGAGAGGGUGACCGGCCACCUUGGGACUGAGAUACGGACCAGACUCCUACGUGAGGCAGCGGUGGGGAAUAUUGCACAAUAGGCGGAAGCCUGAGACGGCAACGCCGCGUGCGGGAUGACGGCCUUCGGGUUGUAAACCACUUUCGCCGGUGACGAGGCGUGAGUGACGGUAAUGGGUAAAGAAGCACCGGCUAACUACGUG